AGACGGAGUCUCUCCCUCAGUUGGCCCAGGCUGGAGUGCAGUGUUGCAGUUGCGUGAUCUCAAGCUAUUCUCGUGCCUCAGCCUCCGGAGUAGCUGGGACCACAGGUGGUGUGAGCUUCCACGUCCAACUAAAUUUUGUAUUUUUAGUAGAGAUGGGUUUUCACCAUGUUGGCCAGGCUGGUCUCGAACUCCUGACCUCAGGUGAUCUGUGCACCUCGGUCUCCCAAAGUGCUGGGAUUACACGUAUGAGACACCGUACCCGUGCUUCUCUACCUUUUAAUAACACAUUUUUGUUUCUUUUUAUGCAUUUGUUAGUGUAAAUAUGUUCAAGAAUACUCUACAUUUUGUGUACAUGUUUGUAAACAAGGGAAAAGGACCCAAAGAUAAUUUCUCUUUCAUUGUAUUCUAGUUCAGUUACUAACUUUGGCCUUCUCAAGUCAUAUUAAUCUACUAUUCUUAUAAUUGAUGGGUAAUGUUUGUUAUUAGUAUGUGUUAAUAUUCAAUAAUGUAAACAACGUUGGUAAAUACUUGUGAGAAAUUUUUUUUUUUUUUGAGAUGGAGUCUCACUCUGUUGCCCAGGCUGGAGUGCAGUGGCGUGAUCUUGGCUCACUGCAACCUCCGCCUCCCGGGUUCAAGUGAUUCUCCUGCCUCAGCCUCCCGAGUAGCUGGGAUUACAGGCGUGCACCACCAUGUCCAGCUAAUUUUUGUAUUUUUAGUAGAGAUAGGGUUUCACCAUGUUGGCCAGGCUGGUCUUGAGCUCCUGACCUCAUGAUCUGCCUGCCUUGGCCUCCCAAAGUGCUGGGAUUACAGGUGUGAGCCACUGCACCUGGUCUAUACUUGUGAGAAACUAUCAAGUAACAGCAUUGAAGCCCUUAUCACUCCAAAUUUAGACUUGCUCUUCUUUAAAUUAGUUAAUAUGUGUUUUUUAGUAUUAUUUUAGAAUAAACAUUUUUUGAAGUAUAACAACUUAGAUUUUAGUAUUUUAUAUUAUUGACUUGUAAUGUUAUUUCUGGUGGAAAAAGAAGCUUUUCAUUGAGUAUGUGUGUGUGUGUUUGUGUUUGUUAAGAUACAGGGUCUCACUCUGCCACCCAGGUUGAUUGCAGUGGUGUGAUCACUGCUUCUUGUAGCCUUGAUCUCUGGGGCUCCAGUGAUCCUCCCACCUCAGCCUCCCAAAUAGCUGGGACUACAGGUUCAGCGCCACCAGUCUUGGCUAAGUUUUGUGUUUUUAGUAGAGAUGGGGUUUUGCCAUAUUGCCCAAGCUGUUCUUGAACUCCUGAGCUCAAGCAAUCUGCCUGCCUCAGCCUCCCAAAGUGCUGGAAUUACAGGUGUGAGCCACUGUGCCCAGAUUUUUUACUGAUUCUGAAGUAAAAUUGGAUUCCUUAGACUUAAGCACCUUGAGUCUGACCUAUUAAAUUAGCUUUUUUUUUUUUUUUUUUUUUUUUUGAGGCGGAGCCUCACAGGCUGGAGUACAAUGGCACAAUCUUGGCUCACUGCAACCUCCACCUCCCGGGUUCAAGCGAUUCUCCCUGCCUCAGCCUCUCGAGUAGGUGGAAUUACAGGUGUCUGCCACUAUGCCCUGCUAAUUUUUGUAGUUUUUAGUAGAGAUGAGGUUUCACUAUCUUGGCCAGGCUGGUGUUGAACUCCUGACCUCGUGAUCCACCCGCCUCAGCUUCCCAAAGUGCUGGGAUUACAGGUGUGAGCCACUGUGCCUGGCCUUAAAUUGGUUUUAAGAAGUGGUCCUUUAUGUCUCAAUUUGAGUUAAUAAAUUUAAUUUUUCAAUUAACUCAGGUUUGCAGUUGGUAUUUUUAAAGCAUUUGUUACGUCCUCAAUAUUGUAUUAGCCGUUAUCUGUGUUGUAACAAUAUAAUUUAAUGUGGCAAUAUUGUAACAUAUAAGAUAACAGCAAUGUUGGUUGUCUGAGUAUUCUGUCCACAGCCUUCUUUCCAGGUUUUAUGUGUUCCUGGCAAUCUGGUCUAUAUUUAGGGCUUUGUUCUCAUCACCCAUAUGCAAUAAUCUCCACCUCUUUAUUUCUAAUCUAGACCUCUUUUUCUGAGUUGCAUUCCAGCUUCCUACUCGAUAUUGCCUUAGUGCUCCCUUACCUAAACUGAACUCGAAUCCCCUAUUUCUGUUCCCAAUUUCAGUGAAUGGUACCACUGUCAGCCUAGUCACGUAAGCCAAAAACUUUGGCAGCUUCUUUCUUACGCUUUUCUGUUAUGCUCAUUUCCCCUUAGUCCAGUUAGUCACACCAAGUCCUGUUAAUUUUAAUUCCUAAAUAUCUUUUAAAUUUAUUUUUUCCUGUGUCACUUUCUUACGUAAGGGUUUUGGAAUGUCUUAUCUGAUUUACUGGCUCCAGUUUUGUCCCAUUUUAAUCUAACCAUAUUCUUUCUUUAUGUUUAUAUAUGUAUCUUAUUUUAUCCUUUUUUCCGUACUGCCGUCCAUUCAUCCAUCCAUGUCUGAAGUACCUGCCUACUCUGUACUAGACACUAUGGUAGGGGCUAGGAUACAAAGAUGAAGAAACUGGUAUGUUGAUAUUACAAUGCUAUGACACUUGUAGAGAAAUUCUCAUUUUUAAGCCCAAACGUCUCUUUCUCCAACGUGAUCUUUGUUCCAUUCUGACAGUUAUGGUGGUUCUGCUAUAUAGUAUUUAUGUAUACUGUAGUACUUAAUAUGUUAUGUUGUAAUUAAUUAUUUUCAGGUCUCUCCCUCUUUUGGCUGGCGUUGUGCUCCAGAGAGGCCGUGUUUUUUUUCAUUUCUGUAUUUCUUCCCGUAUUAUCAUACUCUUAAAUUGAAUAAAGUGAUGGAAUUAGGAGGAACAACACCGAGUUGGUAAAUUAAGGUCAGAGUAGGCUUAGAAGCAAUCAAGAAUACAUUUUGAUAUAGUAGAUAAUAAAAAGUGUAAAAGGUUUCAAAUAUUGGAGCUAUACAGUUUUGGUGGUAUUUGUGUGAGAGCAAUCUAGAGCAGUUUGUAGGCCAACUUGGAGGGACAGUAACUUGGCAUUAUUGAGACUGUUUAAUUGCAUGUGAGCUGUACUAACUUGUUAGUGAAAAUGGAGAGAAAAGGGGUGUGGCCUUCAAAGAUUGUUGUCUUUUAGACAAAAUGGAAAUAUAAAAUUAUAAUGUUAAUAUGUAAAGAAAGUACUCAUUUCUGAAGGUCUAAAAAUAUUGGUCAGUGUAUCAGGAGUAAAAUUUGGUUUAACCGAAAAAAACUGGCCUGCCGCGGUGGCUCACGCCUGUAAUCCCAGCACUUUGGGAGGCCAAGGCGGUCAGAUCACUUGAGGUCAGGGGUUCGAGACCAGCCUGGGCAACAUGGCGAAACCCCAUCUCUACUAAAAAUACAAAAAAUUAGCCGGGCGUGGUGGCUCAGGCCUGUAAUUCCAGCUACCUGGGAGGCUGAGGCAUGAGAAUUGCUUGAACCCGGGAGGCGGAGGUUGCAGUGAGCCGAGAUGGCACCCCUGCAUUCCAGCCUGGGUAACAGAGCUAGACUGCAUCUCAAAAACAAACAAACAAACACACCUGUCAAAAAUUAAUUUACCUCAGUUCUUCAAAAAGUUAAACAUAGACUUACUAUAUGACCCAACAAUUCUGUUCCUAGGAAUAUACCCCAAAUAAUUGAAACAGGUAAUCAAAGUCUUGUACACAAAUAUUUAUAUUUGUAGCAGCACUAUUCACAACAGCUAAGGUGUAAACAACCCAGAUGCCCAUCAACAGAUGAAUGGAUAAACAGAAUGUGGUCUGUCCAUAGAAUGGAAUAUUAUUCAAUACAUAAAUGAAUGAAGAGCUAUGUGCUGUAGCAUAGAUGAACUUUGAAAACUGAAAGGAGCCAGACCCAAAAUACUCUAUGAUUCCAUUUAUAUGAAGUAUCCAGAAUAGGUAAAUCCAUAGAGACAAAAAGUAGAUGAGUGGUUCCCAGAGGCUGAUAGGGAGAAAAGACUGAGGAGUGACUGGUUAUUGUGUAUGGGAUCUCCUUUAGCAAUAUGAAAAUGUUUUGGAACACAGGGAGGUGAUGGUUGUACCACAUUGUAAGUAUAUGAAAUGCCACUGAAUUGUAUACUUUAAAAUGGUUAAUGUUAUAAGAAUUUCAUCUCAAUAAAAAAUUCAGUUCAUCUGAGCUUCAGCUUUCCCUCAUAAACACUCAAUGUAUUUGAUGUCUUUUUUUUUUUUGCUGUCACUGCAGCAGAACAGAUGUUUGAUAAGUCUUAAUUCUAUUUUAAGACUUAUCACAGAAAGUUAUAUUUCAGAAUCUUGUGUUUACAUAGCCUUGAACUUAUUUUUUCUUGUAAUGGGACGAUAUAUUGAGAUUAUUGAAUUUGAUGAGAAUAGGUGACAAUUUAAAUGUGAGGAAGAGAAUAAAUCACAGUUGUAGAAAGGUAAAAUUAUGUUUUAUUGCACAUAUACUACUUGAGACUUCUUGACCAACUGAAAUUCUUCAGCUAAUGUACAUGUUCCCAAGAAGUGUAGUCAGAUAAACCUAACAGAAUGUCACUUAUCAUGAUUAUUUAGCAUUAGAAGUAACACCAAAAAGCAAAGAUUAAAAUGACCUGGUUUUCCUGAUAUUCCAAAUUCUCAUUCUUAACAGCUCCGUUUGUACACUGGAGCAAUUUGUCAAGUUUGGAGUCAACAAAUUCCAGUUUUAUGGAUAUUGUGAGCCUCUGUCUUUCACCUAGGUCUCUUUAUCUUGCUGAUCUCUUACAUGUUAGCUGUGACAGUUUGUCUUCGACAGUUUGUGGUUACAUCAUAACAGUAAUUGUUUUUUACAACAGUGGAUAACAUAGGGAGUUUAAGGAGGACUAACUCCAACAAAUAGCACAAGUUCCUUGAAAGGUUGACGCUGAAGGCAUAAACUCCAUUGGAUAUAUGUAGGAUCUAGAAUGGGAUCAGGCUAGUAAUAAUGUUUGAAAGAGCAGGUUUGGGAGGAGGGAAUGGCUUAGGCUACAAGUUGGGCUAUGAAAUUGCAUGUUCCUGAUCAUAGUUCACGUAAUGAAAAGAUCUAGAUAAAUAAGAUGCCAAAUAACGUUUCUUAGUGGAAUCAUAAUGAUUAUCAUGUUGUGGUGGUAAAAAUCAUUGGAAAUCCU
rnacentral:lncRNA from 1 species